rnacentral:lncRNA from 1 species
CUCAUUAGCUGAGAAAAGACAUUUAUUUAUUGUUUGUUUUGCUUUGUCUUCCUCAUGGAUAACUAAAGUUGGAUCAGUUAUUCUGGUCCAUUAGCCAUGUGCCCCUUCUCUUCCAGAUCAUGCAUGAAUGGAUGGUCUGCUUGAAUGUCUGGUCUGUUCCAACAGAGAAGACCUUUCAUCAAAAGGCUUUGAAGAAUUACUCGCAUCCCCACUGCAGCUUUCACUUGUGCAUUUACCACCUCCUGCCUUCCCUUGAUGCUCUUCCUGAUAUCCAUCAGUUCACACCAUGUCCACUAUUCUCAUCAUUCACUUCAGCUGAGCUUUAGAUGAUAGUAACACCAUUUUCUAUAGCAUCAUGUUGCUCACUAAAUUACAGGAGUAUUGUGAAGUUGAUCAGCUUAAGCUUAUUCUCAAGUUCUGCUUGUUUUAUUCAACAUCUUUCAUUUUCCACAAAUUCAUCUACAGAUUGCUGCUGCUCUAAUUUGGCAUCUCAAAAUAUUACUCUUCUUAACUGUGUCUUCUAAAUAUGUUGAUUGACUUUUGCUUUACCAGUGGUGAAUGCUAUGUCUCUACCUGAUGUCUCUUGUCCUCUGCCUGAACCUAGAAAUCAUCUUUACCUUCUGUUCUUUUCUGUUUGUUUGUUGUUUUUUUUUUAUAACUACCCUUCUUAAAAAGAAGUGGUUUAGGUUAGGUUUUUAACACAACUUACAUAUGAACUAGUUGCAAACCACAGUUUUGAUAAACAUUCUGUGUUUCAGGAGGCUAUAGCAAUGGGAUUUGUAACUGAUUAGCUAAUGAUCCUGAUGAUUUCAUUGAACAUAGAGUCUACUUUUCAUCACAUAGUGCAACUGUAAUUUGAUAUAUUACUCUGCCCAAAUAAAGAGUAGAAUGUCUACUCUUCUAAUUCAAAAGAAGAUCCCCACAGACUGAAUGCCUGUCAAAUAUAUGAUAUUCAUUAUUUUUAAUUAACCUGCCAAUGUAAUGUCAAUGUAAUUUGGUAUUAUGUGACCCAUGACACUCUUUCCAUAUGUAUUGUCUUUUAAUAGACUUUGGAUCAUCGU